ACCCCGAGGUAAGAUUCUCAUCGAGAAGUCCUCAAACGGGAAUCAGACAUGCUAACCAGUACUUCACCUUGCAGCAAAUGCCACUCGCAAAAAGAUUCAGUGAACUUUUAAGAAAGAUAAUGCAAGUGGAAAUAACUGCUCCGAGAUAGGUUAGCAUAGCUUGCCUGUCUAAACCUCUCACAAAAAGAUUCAGCUAAUUUAUAGGCAAGAUAAUGCUGGUGGAAAUAAGCGUUCAGAGAGGUUAGCAUAGCUUGCCUGUCUAAACCUGCGUCUUAAAAUGGGGGCGUUGGCUUGACUUGACAUCAAUCAAGCCUCUGAGACAUCUGCUGCAACAUCUCGACAAC